rnacentral:lncRNA from 1 species
CCUUCAUUUAUUCGCUGAAAUAAAGGAUAAAUAGUACAGACAAGGAACUUGCAAUGCAGAUUCUCUUUAAACUAUGGAGACUUUCCUUCUCGAUUAUUCUGGGAAAAAGCUAGAAUACCCAAACCUGGUUCCUCAGAUCUGCCUACCCCAUAUACAUAGUGAUUCCCUAUCUCUCUUUUCCUAAAGAUAAGGAUAAAUAAUAAGAAAGAUAAAGAUAUAUAAAGAUAAAAAAAACUAACUUAUACCUAUUUUUCUAGACAAAGAUAAAUAAGAAAGAUAGCAAAACCUAAACUUAUUUCUAUUUUCUAGAUAAGGAUAAAUAAAAGGUUUAUUAACUUAUUUGUAUUUUCUAGGCUGGAUGUCACCUAGCAAUUUAUCAUAUAAAAAAAAAACAAAAAACUGACUGCCCAAUAAUGUUAAAUUUGGGGUCUUGUUCUUUGGGUAUAAUUAAUAUCUGUUUGUAGUUAGGAAAUCUAACAUAUUUGAGUAAAAUUCUCCUAAUCCGUUAUUAUUUGUAUAUAUCCUACACUUUUUUGUCUUAUUAUAAGAAAACUUAACUGAUUUAAGACUUUGCCUUUAUUACCGUUACACAUUCUUCUUGAGGCAAUUUUCCUUACAAGAAAAGACUCCUAGCUGGAAACAGCUGGAUAGCUAUGAAUAGUUAAUAUCAUCCAAAUAUCAGUUGUAAAUAGUAAUGUCAUUUCUUACACUGUCUUUGGCGGUACCUGAAUCAUACUUUCCUACCCAUGAAUAUUUUCAAUUAUUCUGAUCUGUUAUCAACUUUUAAAAUUGACAAUGGAUCUCAUGUAUGUUGUCAUUUAUCUUCCAUAUAUUAUUGUCUUGAUUAAAUACAUGCUUUAAUGCUUGAGCUGUUGUAUCAUUAUAUGUUCAGGAACCAGCCAAUUUUAUGUGUGUGUUUUUUUAAAAUUAACUACUAGAAGAUUGAAGAAAAAAUAUGCUUUAUUCAUUGCAAUAAGAGAAGCCAUUCUAAGCAAUAGUACUAAUAUUAGGCAAGCUAUACUGCAUUUCAUUCUGCAGCUCAAGCUCUUGGAUUGCCAUUUUUGAGUCCAUAUCUGCAAUCAAUUGGAUCUAAUUACAAACAUGGAGCUAAUUUUGCUACAUUGGCAUCCACUGUGCUUCUACCUAAUACUUCUUUGUUUGUCACUGGGAUCAGCCCUUUCUCCCUUGCUAUUCAGCUCAACCAAUUGAAGCAAUUCAAAACUAAGGUUAAUCAAGUGUAUGAACAAGGUACAAAAUGCACAAACUUCCUAGUUCUCAGUCUAUUCUUUAAAAAAAAAUCUCCUUGCAUUUCUAUAGUAAUGUACUAGUUCCUUUUGAUUGUUCCUCAGGAACCGAACUUCCUUCACCGGAUAUAUUUGGAAAAUCUCUUUACACAUUCUACAUUGGCCAAAAUGAUUUUACUUCCAACUUAGCAGCCAUUGGCAUUGGUGGAGUGCAACAAUACCUCCCUCAAGUUGUUUCACAAAUUGCUUCCACCAUUAAGGUGAGAUUACCUUAACAAUCAACACUAACUCAAAUCUAGAAUUAUUGAAACAAAUAAUGUCAUUAAUCUGGAUUGUGCUCAAUGAAUUUCUAGGAGAUAUAUAAUCUUGGAGGGCGUACAUUUUUGGUUCUUAAUCUUGCUCCUGUGGGAUGCUACCCUGCAUUCUUGGUGGAACUUCCUCAUAAUAGUUCAGACAUUGACGAAUUUGGAUGCUUGGUUUCAUACAACAAUGCAGUAGUGGAAUACAACAACAUGUUGAAAGAGACAUUGAGGCAAACUAGAGAAAGUCUUUCUGAUGCUUCUGUCAUUUAUGUGGAUGUUUACGCUGUUCUGUUAGAGCUCUUCCGGCAUCCCACUUCUCAUGGUUCAAACACUAAUCCUUUACGUUUAUCUAAUUCAGUGCAUAAAUAUUUUAAUCGAGCUACUAAAAGAGUGUAUAAAGCACAUUUUCCAUUAAUAAAAAAAAUUCUGAUUCUAUUAUAAGAAUGGAGACAGGGAGGACUCCAUUUACAUCCCUAAUAAUUUGAUAACUUAUUUAGAAAUUUAAGACAUUAGAACGAUAUUUCUAUGACACCCUUUGGCUAUUAUAAUUUACUCAUAUUAACAGAUGCUAUAUAUACAACCAGAAUGUCUUCAUUAUGCUUCUUACUUUUCUUUUUUUUUUAUCUUCUUGUAACAGGGCUUAAGUAUGGUAUAAAAGCAUGUUGUGGAUAUGGAGGGGGUGACUACAACUUCGAUCCUAAAGCUUACUGUGGCAAUUCCAAAGUGAUAAACGGCAGCAGAGUGACAUCAACUGCAUGCAUUGACCCCUACAACUAUGUGAGUUGGGAUGGGAUUCAUGCCACAGAAGCUGCAAACAAGCUUACUACCUUUGCCAUUCUUAAUGGAUCCUACUCUGAUCCCCCUUUUCCAUUUCAUGAACGUUGUGAUCUUCAACCUAUAGGUUGAUUCAUUUCUUAAUUAACAAAUGAUGAAGGUCAAACUAGCUCAAGAUGUUAAAUAAUUUUCACCAAGAAAUCAAAUUUCUUAUCAUCCACAAGAUUUUUUUUGUCUAAAUUACCGGUAUCCUCUGAUGGAGAUAAUUUUGUUUGAACCGAAUAAGAUUGUUAUGGACCACAAAGUUCUCCCUCCAGGUGUUUGUCAGAUAGUUUUGCAACAAUACAUAAUAUAAGAGAAAAAGUUUGUACAAUGUUCCUACAUGUAUCAGCUUAGAAUUUAGUGAGUAGUCCUAAUAAAGAAAUUAAAAUGAAAACAAGAAUGAAAAUGAUUGUCGUACAUCACCCUUUAGAACAAAACAAUCCUAUACUAAUUUAUUGCAUAGAGUAGUCCUAACGUUGCAUGAUGAAUAAAUAAGUUUAGUUUUUGUCAUAUUUCAAUUUUUUUUAGAUGAGGAUCCAAGUUCAAAACAAAACAAUCCUAUACUAAUUUAUUGCAUAGAGUUACCUGUACUUGUUAGAAAAUAAAUACAAUAAAUAAUAGAAAAGGAAGAAAAGAGAUAAAUAGAACACAACAACAAGAAAAUUAUUUAUCAAAAUAAAUUCAUGAAGUGAAUAACAAAAAAUAAAACAAACUAAGAGUAAAAUAAAAUUUAAAAAAAUGAGCUUAUAAGACUAAUUUCUGAACUAAUUCCUAAACCUCCGAAGGAACCAUAAUAUAGAGAGUAGAUGAGUUCCAAGAAUCAUUUACAUACAUAUCAAUGAGUUUCAACUAGGUAUAGUAAUAUGCACAAACAUAACCUCGUCGCACUGAAUUUUUCAUGAAACCACAAAUCAAACCAAAAUGAUACAUCACCACGCCCCACACGAAACUUAAAAGCCUCUCGAAGACGAUCAACAACUUUCAGAAUAGAUCUCCAAGUGUAAGAAUUCUCAUUUUUUUAAGUCGACGUUUAAGAUAUGACCAUUAUGAAGAUAGUUUGGGGGCAGGAUUUGAACCCAUACCUUGUUGGAUUCGUUCAUGAGAGUCCACGCAUGCUUGCCAAGGAAGGAGAUAUUCUAUUCCCUUGCUCUACAAAUCCCAGACUCCCUUUCUUCUUAGGCUUGGAAAUUUUCUCCC